rnacentral:rRNA from 1 species
CCUACGGGAGGCAGCAGUCGGGAAUAUUGCACAAUGGAGGAAACUCUGACGCAGUGACGCCGCGUAUAGGAAGAAGUUUUUCGGAAUGUAAACUACUGUCGUUAGGGAAGAGAAAGGACGUUACCGAAGGAGGAAGCUCCGGCUAACUACGUGCCAGAAGCCGCGGUAAUACGUAGGGAGCAAGCGUUAUCCGAAAUCAUUGGGUGUAAAGGGUGCGUAGACGGGAGAACAAGUUAGUUGUGAAAUCCCUCGGCUUAACUGAGGAACUGCCACGAAAACUAUUGUGCUUGAGUGCAGGGGAGGGAAGUGGAAUUCCUAGUGUAGCGGUGAAAUGCGUAGAUAUUAGGAGGAACACCAGUGGCGAAGGCGACUUACUGGACUGUAACUGACGUUGAGGCACGAAGGCCAGGGGAGCGAAAGGGAUUAGAUACCCCUGUAGUC